rnacentral:rRNA from 1 species
UACGUAGGUGGCAAGCGUUGUCCGGAUUUAUUGGGCGUAAAGCGCGCGCAGGCGGUGAGGUAAGUCCGUCGUGAAAUCUCCCGGCUCAACUGGGGAGGGUGCGGGGGAGACUGCCUGACUGGAGGCACUCAGAGGCCGGUGGAAUUCCCGGUGGAGUGGUGAAAUGCGUAGAGAUCGGGAGGAACACCAGUGGCGAAGGCGGCCGGCUGGGGGUGACCUGACGCUGAGGCGCGAAAGCGUGGGGAGCGAACCGG